rnacentral:rRNA from 1 species
CCAGAGAACUUAGCAGAGAUGCUUUGGUGCCUUCGGGAACUCUGAGACAGGUGCUGCAUGGCUGUCGUCAGCUCGUGUUGUGAAAUGUUGGGUUAAGUCCCGCAACGAGCGCAACCCUUUAUCCUUUGUUGCCAGCGGCUCGGCCGGGAACUCAAAGGAGACUGCCGGUGAUAAACCGGAGGAAGGUGGGGAUGACGUCAAGUCAUCAUGGCCCUUACGGCCAGGGCUACACACGUGCUACAAUGGCGCAUACAAAGAGAAGCGACCUCGCGAGAGCAAGCGGACCUCAUAAAGUGCGUCGUAGUCCGGAUUGGAGUCUGCAACUCGACUCCAUGAAGUCGGAAUCGCUAGUAAUCGUAGAUCAGAAUGCUACGGCGAAUACGUUCCCGGGCCUUGUACACACCGCCCGUCACACCAUGGGAGUGGGUUGCAAAAGAAGUAGGUAGCUUAACCUUCGGGAGGGCGCUUACCACUUUGUGAUUCAUGACUGGGGUGAAGUCGUAACAAGGUAAGCGUAGCGAG